rnacentral:rRNA from 1 species
GACGAACGCUGGCGGCGUGCCUAAUACAUGCAAGUAGAACGCAGUUGCGAACGGGUGAGUAACGCUUAUGUAACUGCCUCAUAGCGGGGGAUAACUAUUGGAAACGAUAGCUAAUACCGCCUACUGUUAGAUGGACCUGCGUUGUAUUAGCUAGUUGGUGAGGUAAAGGCUCACCAAGGCGAAGAUCCAUAGCCGAACUGAUAGGGUGGUCGGCCACAAUGGGCAUGGGACACCGCCCCAGCUCCUACGUGAGGCAACAGUAGGGAAUCUUCGGCAAUGGGAGGAAGGCUUGCCGAGCAACGCCGCGUGAGUGGAGAAAGUUUUCGGAUCCUAAAGCUCUGUUGGUUGAGGAGCGGUAACUAACCAGAAAGGGACGGCUAACUACGUGCCAGCAGCCGCGGUAAUUC